rnacentral:pre_miRNA from 1 species
AAUAAGCGCGACCAUUAGUUUCCGUAUCCAUUUUUUAUAAUUAGUAUUUUUAUUGUUAUUAUAUUAUAAAACAUGAAUAGUAUUUUAUGCGUGACUUAUAUUUUUUUUAGUUUUUUGAAAAAUGAAUUUAAAUAAGACGAACGAUUACAGUUGGAUACAGAAACUUAUGGCUGCGCUUAUC